rnacentral:rRNA from 1 species
CUUUCUUUGCUGGCGACCGGCGCACGGGUGAGUAACACGUAUCCAACCUGCCGAUAACUCGGGGAUAGCCUUUCGAAAGAAAGAUUAAUACCCGAUGGUAUAAUAAAGCCGCAUGGUUUAAUUAUUAAAGAAUUUCGGUUAUCGAUGGGGAUGCGUUCCAUUAGGCAGUUGGUGAGGUAACGGCUCACCAAACCUUCGAUGGAUAGGGGUUCUGAGAGGAAGGUCCCCCACAUUGGAACUGAGACACGGUCCAA